UUGAAGUCUUUAUCCCUCUCGAUUAUAAAAUGAUUAGGAAAAGAAAAAGAGAGAAUAAAAUGUAGAUAAAGAGAAAGAGAAAGAGAGAGAGGAACAUAAGGGAUGGUAUGAAGUAGAAGUGAAGAUGCAUGCGAUGGUGUGUCGGAAAGGCAAAGCACAUGCUACACAACUUGAGCUUCUCACUUGCGUCAGGGAUAAGUAUCCUCUGUACCUUCUUACUUUUGCGUAAUAUGUACCACCUCACUUCUCAACCGUUUGAUCUUUAAUCCUUCAUUAUUUCUUCAUUACCUUCUCUUUUUGUUUUUGUUUUCGUUUUCAAUUUCUCAUAGAUUCAUUUACAAACUAAAUAUCAUAG
rnacentral:sRNA from 1 species